CCGAACUGAAGUUCGAUUUCACUUUUUCGAUUAUCAAUAAAAUUCGUUUUUCAUAUUAUUUCUUUGUUUAUUAAUCACAAAUAACGUUGCAAAUCACAAUAAUGGAAUGCGAUAUUGAUUUAUAAAACACAAGGAUACAAUCACGAAAAAUAUGUACAAAGGACUUUUAAAAAAAUGUAUGAGAACUGUGCUAUCGAAUAGCUUAAUCUGAUCUAUUACUUCCGCUUUUCUUCCUCAGUCUUGUAGAAAGAGAAAGUAACGAUCCUUUCACUCUUUAAAUCAAUAAAUAUAUAAGAAUUUAAUAAUAUUCAUAUAUAUAUAUAUAUAUAUAUAUACUUAUUUCACAUUUCAAAUUUAAUUAGCUAUUUUCAAUCUUUCAAUUGACACGGAUAAAUCGUUUUCUUACUUCACAUUGUUUCAAAGUUAAAACGUUCCGUUUUCUUUCCGCGACAUAUCCUUCUCUGUAAUAUUACACACAUAUAUAUUAUAUUGUACAUAAUAUUGCACAUGCCUCUAUGCUAUAUCGUCCAAUACCUCGUAUCCUCCUCUAUAAACACGAGACACUUUGCAAUAUAAAAUCAGAUGUUAUCCUGUUAUCAUAAUCCUGUUAUCUCGAGUACUUUGACUUGAAUAAAAGAAAAUUCUGUUACAUAAAUCGCGAUUUCACGUGAGACAAGAGAGAGAGAGAGAGAGAGAAAGAGAGCAACAUUCCGAAAGAGAACAGUGAAGGUUUUGCACGCAAAGUGUUUUGCGCACAGUCCUUGUAAAAUCUAAAUGGAUCGUGGUCACGAGUAAAACGUCAAACGAUGCACGUGUCUGUACACAAAUAUCCGCGUGGUGAUAGAGUGCACGUGACAAUCGUGGUUAGAAAGCACACGAUCCUGGUGGAAUGUCAAUUUACCGACCAACCGUUAAUACCUUCGAAUGGAAACCCGCGGAGACAAGUGGCUGAAGAGAAAGAAAAAUUAUUUUCUCCUUGUCAUAACUAACCUAACUCGUGUCAACUCGGUUUCUCGACCGACUUUGCGUCGGUCGGAGAAUUCAUCGAUAAAGUCAGUACGAGUAAGAAAGUCGUAUUGACAAUGUUAUUCUUUCCUCUAACAAAAUUUAAAAGUUGAUCGUUCGUCACAAAAUUUUUAAACGAAUUUUUAAAAUUAUUUUCAAGGAUAAAUAAGACAUUGGCAUUGGUGCAAAUAGUUUUUCAAGAGUUCAUAAAGGGAAGUAAUAUUCGGCUAAUAAAAACACGGCAUCAUAUCAAUAUGGUAUAAUUAACGAACAAGGGCAAUGCUAGAAAAAUAUCAAUGAUAUAAUCUCUAAUUUAUAUUCAUAAAUGCAUUCAUCGAUGAUUCAUAGGUUAAAAAAAAAAAACAAUUAUAUAUUUAUAUUGCGAAGAUGAAACGUGGGAAAUUUAAUUUCUUUUUAUUUUAAUACUUUUUUUUACGAUCCUUCUAAUUUUCAUAUCAAUUUAAAAAAUAUAUAUAUAUAUAUGUAAAAAAAUAUAUGUAAUGGGAAUGUAAAGAUAAAAAAAGAUUGCUCGAAAAGAAAUUUCUAUAAUACAUUUUUCAUAAUCGAGCAAUUAGUUAUUAAACGAUAUUAUAUCAUGGCCGUUACAUAAAACUAUUCAAUCAUUGAUCAUAUACUUUUCUAUCCAUAAAUAAUCUGUAAUUAUAUUUCAUUUUUAUUACGAUAUUAUUAUGAAAAUUAUCGCGAUGAAAUAUUGGAAGAUAGACUUGUAAAUUUAGUUUAACACAAUCAUUAUAUGUGUAUCAUAUGUCAAAUAAAUUAUUAAAUGUGUUAUAGAA